CACCUGGAGGCAAACUAGAGGCAACCUAGGUUCGCUCUAACUGCUGUCAUCGUGCUCAUUUAUUGCUCGAGAGGCAACCUAGGUUCGCUCGAAAAAGGGACGGAGUCGCCCUGAGAAAAAAGUCAGUUUUGCGAGAAGUUCACCAAUACUCUCAACGUUGUUGUCAAAACAUUAAACAGCUGUUUUUGGCUAAAAACAAAACAGUUGAAAUAAUGAACGGGCAAAUGAUUAUUGCCGCGAUUUUGAACCUCUCAGCCAAGCAAAAUCGUACUAUCUGCAGUCCAGUGCAAUCCGGACACGAAAAACGGCAAUCCGGACACGAAAAACGGCAAUCCGGAUGUGAAGAACCGAAUGGAGGAAUAGAGAAGGGAGGACAAAAUGACAGCUGCAUGUAAACAUUGCGCUCGUUCUCACGCACACCUACGUAUGGAAUAACUCGAAACCCGAAACUUGCUUUUUUAUUCUGACGGUUCCAGAGCCAAAUCCGGAAUCAAAAAAAAAUACGCCAUAAAAUCCAAACCAAAACGAACAUUGGUAGACUUUCGUUUUUUUUACCUAAUUAAAAUUUUUCGUGUAAUCGUUGAAGGCUAAAAUAUUUUUUUCGUGUUAGUCUUGUUUGCGCGCCAUUUUUUUUGGGACACAAUUCUUUAUUGCGGUCGAUAGGAGUUAUUUGCGAAAUCUUUUGGCGUUGAUCGAAAUGGCAGUGAAUCAAGGACGAGUGGAACCAGCGAUGUCACGAAACAGUGCCUGCCUAUGUUUUUGUGGAUCCGCCGAUCGAAUGGCGGCCGCUGCCCCACGGAACAAGAGUUGGCGUGGUAAAAUUUUACCAUUUUCAAGCGCUUCAGUCGCAUCAUCGUCUGCUACACCAUCAACAUAAGAAGUAUUGCAACGCGGGAUGUUUUGCUGAAAUCAUCAGCAAAUGGCAUUUUGAAGGCGAAUUGUGGACAGUAUGGAGUUAAUUUCCGAAUCAUAACACCCAAGUAUCCAGGAAAAGGGGAAUAGAAAAAAUAUGUUAAAUGUAAGAAGAUUUGUAAUAAUAAAAUAGUUAAUUUUAA